AACGAACGCUGGCGGCAUGCCUAACACAUGCAAGUCGAACGAGACCUUCGGGCCUAGUGGCGCACGGGUGCGUAACGCGUGGGAACCUGCCCUUAGGUUCGGAAUACCUCCCCGAAAGGGGUGCUAAUACCGGAUAAUGUCUUCGGACCAAAGAUUUAUCGCCUUUGGAUGGGCCCGCGUUGGAUUAGCUAGUUGGUAGGGUAAAAGCCUACCAAGGCGACGAUCCAUAGCUGGUCUGAGAGGAUGAUCAGCCACACUGGGACUGAGACACGGCCCAGACUCCUACGGGAGGCAGCAGUGGGGAAUAUUGGACGAUGGGCGAAAGCCUGAUCCAGCAAUGCCGCGUGAGUGAUGAAGGCCUUAGGGUUGUAAAGCUCUUUUACCCGGGAUGAUAAUGACAGUACCGGGAGAAUAAGCUCCGGCUAACUCCGUG
rnacentral:rRNA from 1 species